CAGCCGCCGCGGUAAUACGAGGGGUGCAAGCGUUAUUCGGAUUGAUUGGGUGUAAAGGGUGUGCAGACGGCUUAUUAAGUCACUUGUUAAAUUCUUCGGCCUAACUGAAGGUCUGCAAGUGAUACUGAUGAGCUAGAGGGUGGAAGAGAGAAGUGGAAUUCUCGGAGUAGCGGUAAAAUGCGUAGAUCUCGAGAGGAACACCAAUGGCGAAGGCAGCUUCUUGGUCCAUUCCUGACGUUCACACACGAAAGCGUGGGGAGCAAACAGGAUUAGAUACCCCCGUAGUCCCUGUCUCUUAUAC
rnacentral:rRNA from 1 species